ACGCACGCUGGCGGCGUGCUUCACCCCUGCAAGUCGCACGGAAAGGCCCUGCUUUUGUGGGGUGCUCGAGUGGCGAACGGGUGAGUAACACGUUAGUAACCUGCCCUUGACUUUGGGAUAACUUCAGGAAACUGGGGCUAAUACCGGAUAGGAGCUCCUGCUGCAUGGUGGGGGUUGGAAAGUUUCGGCGGUUGGGGAUGGACUCGCGGCUUAUCAGCUUGUUGGUGGGGUAGUGGCUUACCAAGGCUUUGACGGGUAGCCGGCCUGAGAGGGUGACCGGCCACAUUGGGACUGAGAUACGGCCCAGACUCCUACGGGAGGCAGCAGUGGGGAAUAUUGCACAAUGGGCGGAAGCCUGAUGCAGCAACGCCGCGUGCGGGAUGACGGCCUUCGGGUUGUAAACCGCUUUCGCCUGUGACGAAGCGUGAGUGACGGUAAUGGGUAAAGAAGCACCGGCUAACUACGUG
rnacentral:rRNA from 1 species